GGAAGUAAAAGUCGUAACAAGGUUUCCGUAGGUGAACCUGCGGAAGGAUCAUUAUCGAAUUCUGAGGGGGAAGACGGAGGAGUGAAGACUGUCGCUGGCCCCACCAGGGCAUGUGCACGUCUUCCUUUUCGUUGACCUUUCUCACAUACAACACACCUGUGCACCUAUUGUAGGUCCUCGGAAGAGGAUCUAUGUUUUUUUUCACAUCACACACCAUCGUAUGUCUAUAGAAUGUAUUGAAGACUGUCCUAUGAUGGUCGAUAAUAAAUCAUACAACUUUCAGCAACGGAUCUCUUGGCUCUCGCAUCGAUGAAGAACGCAGCGAAUUGCGAUAAGUAAUGUGAAUUGCAGAUUUUCAGUGAAUCAUCGAAUCUUUGAACGCACCUUGCGCUCCUUGGUAUUCCGAGGAGCAUGCCUGUUUGAGUGUCAUUUGAAUUUCUCAAACCCAUGUCUUUUUUAGGACACAGGGUUUGGAGUUGGGGGCUGCUGGUGGCGAAAAGCUGUCGGCUCUCCUGAAAUGCAUUAGCAAAGGACGGCAAGUCUUUGACGUGCACGGCCUUCGACGUGAUAAUGAUCGUCGUGGCUGGAGCGUCGGACAUGCAUGAAUCGUCUGUGCUGCUUCUAAUCCUACUAGGCUAGCCUCGGCUUGUCUCUAUUCGAAACUUGACCUCAAAUCAGGUAGGACUACCCGCUGAACUUAAGCAUAUCAAUAAGCGGAGGA
rnacentral:rRNA from 1 species